GCAGUGGUGGCUCAGUGGUUAAGGUUCUGGAUUACUGAUCAGAAGGUCAGGGGAUCAAACCCCCAAGCUGCCACUGUU